GACUCCACUGGACACGGAGCCGCAGCCACUCUCAGCGAGUGUUGGCCAGAUGCCAAGUUCUGGGGCUUAAGGCCCUGAUCUCGCGGGAUCUGCGUUUUCACAGAUGGAGGCAGCCAGCAGACAAAUAGAACAUCAGGCAGGAAUUAGGACUCGGCAGGGCUGAGAGCCCUUCCAGGGACCGGCAGCCACUGACUCCUUUGGCCGCUCCGGUCUCAGUGCUGCGUGUGUCGCCACACAUGGGCCCUGGUGCCCUGACCAGGGAUGGCACCCAGGACCCUGCUUUGGUAGCACAGAGUCUUAGCCACUGGACUGCCUCGGAGGUCCCUGACAUCUACUUGGGUGAGGAUGUCCGGGAUGCCUAAGAAGACUUCUUUCUGCCAUGAGACAUCAGAACCUGAGAGUCAGUGUGUCCAGACGCAGAUGCUGAACCCCCGCCAGGCGGCAGAAGUUCAGUGUCUGCUGCCCACAGGCACGUAGACCCGAGACUCGCUGAAGCCGGAAGGUUGGUGACGCUGACUGUCACUCACCACACCACCAGCCCGUCAGCACGGCGUCCCCGAGCUGCUCACACAGGCCUUGAGCCACGACUACUCCCUCCAGGUCUGGACACACGGCUUUGAGGGCAUUAGCCCUCUGGGGCCCCUCAGCCUUGGCAAAGCAAGUAAAGAUAUUCUUUUCUACUUCACCCCCCUUCACACACACACACACACACACACACACAAAUAGACAAUGUGAUGGAAAAUAUGAGAGAAAAAUAGGAAAAUCAGAGUUAGUCCUGGAGAGUUAAACUUCUGAAAAACAGGGGUUCUUGGAAGACAGAAGAGAGGAAACAGCAGUAAGGAAAUCCUCUUGGAAAGAGCUCAGAAAACCCCCAAAUGGAGCUGAAGCAGCCUUCAGUUUCCAAGGGCAAAUGGCAAGGCAAGUGCCCAGGAGAGAGUUUGCAAACAGAAGUCAUGCCACAGCUAACCAGGACGCCAGGGUGUGGAGCCCUUGCCAGCUCCUCUGACAUACAGAGAGGGGGUCACGGCCAAAUGACCAGCAACCAAAAGGGGUCCAUACCCUACUGGGGGCGGGGGUGGAUACAUCUCCUAGUAACUUUCUUAAAAAAAAAAAAAGCAAAAU
ensembl:lncRNA